rnacentral:rRNA from 1 species
AUUGAACGCUGGCGGCAUGCCUUACACAUGCAAGUCGAACGGUAACGCGGGGCAACCUGGCGACGAGUGGCGAACGGGUGAGUAAUGCAUCGGAACGUGCCCAGUUGUGGGGGAUAACUGCUCGAAAGAGCAGCUAAUACCGCAUACGACCUGAGGGUGAAAGCGGGGGAUCGCAAGACCUCGCGCAAUUGGAGCGGCCGAUGUCGGAUUAGCUAGUUGGUGGGGUAAAGGCCCACCAAGGCAACGAUCCGUAGCUGGUCUGAGAGGACGACCAGCCACACUGGGACUGAGACACGGCCCAGGCUCCUACGGGAGGCAGCAGUGGGGAAUUUUGGACAAUGGACGCAAGUCUGAUCCAGCCAUGCCGCGUGCGGGAAGAAGGCCUUCGGGUUGUAAACCGCUUUUGUCAGGGAAGAAAUCUUCUGGGUUAAUACCUCGGGAGGAUGACGGUACCUGAAGAAUAAGCACCGGCUAACUACGUGCCAGCCGCCGCGGUAAAAC